rnacentral:rRNA from 1 species
AUUGAACGCUGGCGGCAGGCCUAACACAUGCCAGUCGAACGGUAACAGGGAUCAGCUUGCUGAUUCGCUGACGAGUGGCGGACGGGUGAGUAAUGUCUGUGAAACUGCCUGAUGGAGGGGGAUAACUACUGGAAACGGUAGCUAAUACCGCAUAACGUCGCAAGACCAAAGAGGGGGACCUUCGGGCCUCUUGCCAUCGGAUGUGCCCAGAUGGGAUUAGCUAGUAGGUGGGGUAACGGCUCACCUAGGCGACGAUCCCUAGCUGGUCUGAGAGGAUGACCAGCCACACUGGAACUGAGACACGGUCCAGACUCCUACGGGAGGCAGCAGUGGGGAAUAUUGCACAAUGGGCGCAAGCCUGAUGCAGCCAUGCCGCGUGUAUGAAGAAGGCCUUCGGGUUGUAAAGUACUUUCAGCGGGGAGGAAGGGAGUAAAGUUAAUACCUUUGCUCAUUGACGUUACCCGCAGAAGAAGCACCGGCUAACUCCGUG